ensembl:rRNA 5S_rRNA 5S ribosomal RNA
UUCUAUGGGUAUACCACCCUGAAUGCACACUAUCUCUUCGGAUCUUGGAAGCUAAGCAGUUCAGGCCUGAUCAAUACUUGGAUGGGAGUUCCAAUUUGUCAGUCCAUGGGAU